rnacentral:rRNA from 1 species
GACGAACGCUGGCGGCGUGCCUAACACAUGCAAGUCGAACGGAAAGGCCCUGCUUUUGUGGGGUGCUCGAGUGGCGAACGGGUGAGCAACACGUGAGUAACCUGCCCUUGACUUUGGGAUAACUUCAGGAAACUGGGGCUAAUACCGGAUAGGAGCUCCUGCUGCAUGGUGGGGGUUGGAAAGUUUCGGCGGUUGGGGAUGGACUCGCGGCUUAUCAGCUUGUUGGUGGGGUAGUGGUAUACCAAGGCUUUGACGGGUAGCCGGCCUGAGAGGGUGACCGGCUCCGUUAGGACGGGGAUACGGCCCCGACUCCGCACGGAGGAAGGGGAGGGGCAGAUUGCAUGAGGAGACGAGUCCUACUGCAGCAACGCAGCGUGCGGGAUGCCGGCCUGCGGGUUGUGAGCUGCUUUCGGCUGUGACGAGGAGUCAGUGACGGUACUGGGUGAAUAAGCCACGGCUAACUACGUG